rnacentral:rRNA from 1 species
GAUGAACGCUAGCUACAGGCUUAACACAUGCAAGUCGAGGGGCAGCAUUUUAGUUUGCUUGCAAACUGAAGAUGGCGACCGGCGCACGGGUGAGUAACACGUAUCCAACCUGCCGAUAACUCCGGAAUAGCCUUUCGAAAGAAAGAUUAAUACCGGAUAGCAUACGAAUAUCGCAUGAUAUUUUUAUUAAAGAAUUUCGGUUAUCGAUGGGGAUGCGUUCCAUUAGUUUGUUGGCGGGGUAACGGCCCACCAAGACUACGAUGGAUAGGGGUUCUGAGAGGAAGGUCCCCCACAUUGGAACUGAGACACGGUCCAAACUCCUACGGGAGGCAGCAGUGAGGAAUAUUGGUCAAUGGGCGAGAGCCUGAACCAGCCAAGUAGCGUGAAGGAUGAAGGCUCUAUGGGUCGUAAACUUCUUUUAUAUGGGAAUAAAGUUUUCCACGUGUGGAAUUUUGUAUGUACCAUAUGAAUAAGGAUCGGCUAACUCCGUGCCAGCAGCCGCGGUAAUACGGAGGAUCCGAGCGUUAUCCGGAUUUAUUGGGUUUAAAGGGAGCGUAGGUGGAUUGUUAAGUCAGUUGUGAAAGUUUGCGGCUCAACCGUAAAAUUGCAGUUGAAACUGGCAGUCUUGAGUACAGUAGAGGUGGGCGGAAUUCGUGGUGUAGCGGUGAAAUGCUUAGAUAUCACGAAGAACUCCGAUUGCGAAGGCAGCUCACUAGACUGUCACUGACACUGAUGCUCGAAAGUGUGGGUAU